rnacentral:rRNA from 1 species
GACGAACGCUGGCGGCGUGCUUAACACAUGCAAGUCGAACGGAAAGGCCCUGAUUCUGUGGGGUGUUCGAGUGACGAACGGGCGAGUAAGUAGUGAGUGACCUGCUGUCGACUUUGGGAUAACUACUGGAAACUGGGGCUAAUACUGCAUAGUAGCUUCUGCAGCACGGAGGGGGUUGGAUUGUUUCGGCGGUAGGUGAUGGAUUCCCGGCUUAUCUGAUCGUUGGUGGGGUAGUGGCUUACCAAGGCUUUGACGGGUAGCCGGCCUGAGAGGGUGGCCAGCCACAUGGGGACUGAGGUACGGCCCAGACGCCUACGGGGGGCAGCAGUCGGGAGUAUUGUGCAAUGGUCGGGAGCCUGAUGCGGCGACGCCGCGGGCGUGAUGACGGCCCUCGGGUGGGAAACCGCGUUCACCUGUGACGAAGCGUGAGUGACGGUAAUGGGAAAAGAAGCACCGGCUAACUACGUG